rnacentral:rRNA from 1 species
AGGGUUUGAUCAUGGCUCAGAUUGAACGCUGGCGGUAGGCUUAACACAUGCAAGUCGAGCGAGAAAGUAUCUUCGGAUAUGAGUAGAGCGGCGGACGGGUGAGUAACGCGUAGGAAUCUACCUAGUAGAAGGGGAUAGCCCGGGGAAACUCGGAUUAAUACCGUAUACCUCCUAAGGGAGAAAGAGGGCCUCUCUUGAAGCUCUCGCUACUAGAUGAGCCUGCGUAAGAUUAGCUUGUUGGUAAGGUAAUGGCUUACCAAGGCUACGAUCUUUAGCUGGUCUGAGAGGACGAUCAGCCACAUUGGGACUGAGACACGGCCCAGACUCCUACGGGAGGCAGCAGUGGGGAAUAUUGGACAAUGGGCGCAAGCCUGAUCCAGCCAUACCGCGUGUGUGAAGAAGGCCUUCGGGUUGUAAAGCACUUUAAGCAGGGAGAAAAAGCAAUAAGUUAAUACCUUAUUGCCGUGAUGUUACCUGCAGAAUAAGCACCGGCUAAUUCCGUGCCAGCAGCCGCGGUAAUACGGAAGGUGCAAGCGUUAAUCGGAAUUACUGGGCGUAAAGCGCGCGUAGGUGGUUUGUUAAGUUGGAUGUGAAAGCCCUGGGCUCAACCUAGGAACUGCAUCCAAAACUAACUCACUAGAGUACGAUAGAGGGAGGUAGAAUUCAUAGUGUAGCGGUGGAAUGCGUAGAUAUUAUGAAGAAUACCAGUGGCGAAGGCGGCCUCCUGGAUCUGUACUGACACUAAGGUGCGAAAGCGUGGGUAGCGAACAGGAUUAGAUACCCUGGUAGUCCACGCCGUAAACGAUGACAACUAGCUGUUGGGAGACAAUGUCUUUCAGUGGCGCAGCUAACGUUUUAAGUUGUCCGCCUGGGGAGUACGGCCGCAAGGCUAAAACUCAAAUGAAUU